rnacentral:rRNA from 1 species
GAUGAACGCUGGCGGCGUGCCUAAUACAUGCAAGUCGAGCGAACAGAUGAGGAGCUUGCUCCUCUGACGUUAGCGGCGGACGGGUGAGUAACACGUGGAUAACCUACCUAUAAGACUGGGAUAACUUCGGGAAACCGGAGCUAAUACCGGAUAAUAUAUUGAACCGCAUGGUUCAAUAGUGAAAGACGGUUUUGCUGUCACUUAUAGAUGGAUCCGCGCCGCAUUAGCUAGUUGGUAAGGUAACGGCUUACCAAGGCAACGAUGCGUAGCCGACCUGAGAGGCAGAUCGGCCACACUGGGACUGAGACAGGAUCCAGACUCCUACGGGAGGCAGCAGUAGGGAAUCUUCCGCAAUGGGCGAAAGCCUGACGGAGCAACGCCGCGUGAGUGAUGAAGGUCUUCGGAUCGUAAAACUCUGUUAUUAGUGAAGAACAAAUGUGUAAGUAACUAUGCACGUCUUGACGGUACCUAAUCAAAAAGCCACGGCUAACUACGUG